GAAUCUUCCGCAAUGGGCGAAAGCCUGACGGAGCGACGCCGCGUGUGGGAUGAAGCGUCUACGACGUGUAAACCACUGUCAGAGGACAGAAACACUGAUUGUCCUCAGAGGAAGGGGCGACUAACUCUGUGCCAGCAGUCGCGGUAAGACAGAGGCCCCGAGCGCUAAUCGGAAUUACUGGGCUUAAAGGGUGCGUAGGCGGAUCCGCAAGCGUCUUGUGAAAGCCCCCGGCUCAACCGAGGAACAGCGGGGCGAACUGCGGGUCUUGAGGCAGGUAAGGGUCGCCGGAACAGUAGGUGGAGCGGUGAAUGCGUAGAUAUCUACUGGAACGCCGAUGGUGAAGACGGGCGACUGGGCCUGUCCUGACGCUGAGGCACGAAAGCGUGGGGAGCAAAC
rnacentral:rRNA from 1 species